rnacentral:rRNA from 1 species
UACGGCUCCAGUAACACGUGGAUAAUCUACCCUUAGGUGGAGGAUACCCUCGGGAAACUGAGAAUAAUACUCCAUAGAUCUAGACUGCUGGAAUGCUUUUAGGUCGAAAGAUUUAUCGCCUAAGGAUGAGUCUGCGGACUAUCAGGUUGUAGUCAGGGUAAUGACCUGACUAGCCUACGACGGAUACGGGUAGUGAGAGCUUUAGCCCGGAGAUGAUAUCUGAGACACGAUAUCAGGCCCUACGGGGCGCAGCAGGCGCGAAAACUUCGCACUGUGCGAAAGCACGACGAGGGAAUCCCAAGUGCUGGCUCGUAAGAGUCAGCUGUUUCUCUGUCUAAAAAACAGAGAGAGUAAGGGCUGGGUAAGACGGGUGCCAGCCGCCGCGGUAAUACCUGCAGCCCAAGUGGUGGCCGCUAUUAUUGGGCCUAAAACGUCCGUAGCCGGUUCUAUAAAUGCCUGGGUAAAUCGUACGGCUUAACCGUACGAAUUCCGGGUAGACUGUUCAACUUGGGACCGGGAGAGGCUAGAGGUACUCCUGGGGUAGAGGUGAAAUUCUGUAAUCCUAGGGGGACCACCAGUGGCGAAGGCGUCUAGCUAGAACGGGUCUGACGGUGAGGGACGAAGCCCUGGGGCGCAAACGGGAUUAGAUACCCCGGUAGUCCAGGGUGUAAACGCUGCUCGCUUGAUGUUAGUCGGGCUUCGAGCCCAACUAGUGUCGGAGAGAAGUUGUUAAGCGAGCUGCCUGGGGAGUACGGUCGCAAGACUGAAACUUAAAAGGAAUUGGCGGGGGAG